rnacentral:tRNA from 1 species
GAGGGUAUAGCUCAGUGGUAGAGUGUGUGCUUAGCAUGCACGAGGUCUUAGGUUCAAUCCCUAGUACCGCCA